rnacentral:lncRNA from 1 species
AUAUUGAUAAGGUAGCAUAGUGGUACAACUGUAUUAUAUUUAAGUAGCUGUUGCAGAUUAAAUAUUAUUUUUUACAGUUGUACAACUAUAACUAGUUGUUGCAAUGGAUUAAAUACUAUUUCUUACAGCUUUACAGUUGUAACUAGUUGUUGCAAUUUGAUAAUUAUUCUAUUUUUUUACUUUUCAAUCCUUAUCAUUUUCC